UAGGGAAUAUUAGUAAUGGGCGCAAGCCUGAACUAGCAACGCCGCGUGUGCGAAGAAGGCCUUCGGGUUGUAAAGCACUUUUUGAGAGGAUGAGGAAGGACGGUACUCUCAGAAUAAGUCUCGGCUAACUACGUGCCAGCAGCCGCGGUAACACGUAGGAGGCAAACGUUAUCCGGAUUUACUGGGCGUAAAGCGCGUGUAGGUGGUUUGGUAAGUAGGGCGUGAAAGCUCCUGGCUCAACUGGGAGAGGCCGUUCUAAACUGCCGAACUAGAGGAUGGUAGAGGGAGGUGGAAUUCCGGGUGUAGCGGUGGAAUGCGCAGAUAUCCGGAGGAACACCAGUGGCGAAAGCGGCCUCCUGGACCAUUCCUGACACUCAGACGCGAAAGCUAGGGUAGCGAACGG
rnacentral:rRNA from 1 species